rnacentral:rRNA from 1 species
UGAGGAACAUGACCUUCGGCGGGGGAUAGCCGGCCCAACGGCCGGGUAAUACCGCGUACGACCACAUGGGGACAUCCCUGAGUGGUGAAAGCAGCAAUGCGCCGAUGGAGUGCCUCGCGGCCUAUCAGCUAGUUGGUGAGGUAACGGCUCACCAAGGCAACGACGGGUAGCUGGUCUGAGAGGAUGGCCAGCCACAUUGGGACUGAGACACCGGCCCAGACCUGUACGGGGA